rnacentral:rRNA from 1 species
UACGUAGGGUGCAAGCGUUGUCCGGAAUUAUUGGGCGUAAAGAGCUCGUAGGCGGUUCGUCACGUCGGCUGUGAAAUCCCGAGGCUCAACCUCGGGUCUGCAGUCGAUACGGGCGGACUGGAGUACUGCAGGGGAGACUGGAAUUCCUGGUGUAGCGGUGAAAUGCGCAGAUAUCAGGAGGGACACCGGUGGCGAAGGCGGGUCUCUGGGCAGUAACUGACGCUGAGGAGCGAAAGCGUGGGGAGCGAACAGG